ACCCGGCUGGUUCAGUCGGUGCAGCAUGAGGCUCUGGAUCUUAAGGCUGUGAGUUCAAGCCCCACGUUGGGUA
rnacentral:tRNA from 1 species